rnacentral:rRNA from 1 species
UACGUAGGGGGCAAGCGUUAUCCGGAUUUACUGGGUGUAAAGGGAGCGUAGACGGCGGUGCAGGCCAGAUGUGAAAGCCCGGGGCUCAACCCCGGGACUGCAUUUGGAACUGUACGGCUAGAGUGUCGGAGAGGCAGGCGGAAUUCCUAGUGUAGCGGUGAAAUGCGUAGAUAUUAGGAGGAACACCAGUGGCGAAGGCGGCCUGCUGGACGAUGACUGACGUUGAGGCUCGAAAGCGUGGGGAGCAAACAGG